CUCCUGCCAACUUGGCAGCUCAUCGCUGCUGUUACUAUCAACACCUCCAAGGGAAAAGGGAGAGGAGUCAGCUCUGAUCGCCUGGCGCACUGUGCAGCAAAUUCAUGUCAGAGCCAGCCUUGGAAUGUCUCCCAAGCUCCCAAGGCUCCUGGUGAGGAGGAAAAGGUACCUCACUGGGUUACAGCCGAUGGUGAUGAAGACAUGAAGAUGAUGCCUGUGUUCUCCUUGGGAGCCUUUCUCCCAGAUGUGAAACUGAUCCUAAGACCCCCUGUAAUUUCCUGCUGAAAAUCUCCACCAAGAAACACAGCCACAGCCACAGUUCUUCCUGGUAAGAAGCCCCCAGGGCCAGGCAACAAGAAAAGUGAGCUCGUUCAGCAGGCUGGGAUGUAAAUAAGCCACAAGAGGCUGUGCCAUUCUGGGUUGCACCUGUGAGCAUCACUCAGCUGAAGCCCCAUCAGCGUUUCCAUGACAAACUCGUAUUUCCGGAUGCCUUUCUUCCAGCUUGAAGAGCCUGCCUCGUGUGGGGGAAAAAUGAUGUCAUCAGCUGAAAGUGAGAAGCAAGGAGAACUGCGUGCAGGCCUGAAAAGAAAGGAGGCGUGAUGCAGUCAUCUGCCAGAGGGAGUAGGAGAGGCGACUUGCCUGGGGAAAACAGUGUAGGAUUGCUGGGCAGCAAUAUGGCAGCAAUGUGGUCCUCUGAGGUCAGUGGUGAUGAAUUUAAAGGGAAACCUUUCAGUACAGCUCUGUGUUUUUCUCCAGCCACCUUUAACACCUGGAGUGCAGGCAUUAAAUAGCUAAAAGUCACAUUUGACAAGUGUUGAUUUUGCUAGGCCUAUAGGUUGGGAGAGAGAAGGUCAGAAUGGUUGUCAUUGUUAUCUAUUGCUGUGAAACACAUGACUCCAACACAAUUACUCCCAAACAACAAAUAUUUAUUACCUCAUAGUUUCUGUGGGUCACAGUUUGGAAUUUGGAAGCAGCUCAGGCUGGGCAGUUCUGGCUUGGGGUCUUUCACGAGGCUGCAGUCAAAUGUUACCUCAGGUUACAGUCAUCUAAAAGCUUGUAUAGGGCUGGAGGAUCUGCUUCCAGGGUGGUGCACUCACAUGGCUGGCAAGUCAGUAGUGGUGGUUGGUGGACAACUCAGUUCCUCUACAGGCUGUCAGAGUGUACUUACAGCCUGACAACCAGCUUCUCCCAGAGCUACCAGUCCAAGAGGGAGACCUAAUCAGAAGCUAUCCUUCUUUGACCUAUGCUCAGAAGUGACAUUGCGUUCCUU
rnacentral:lncRNA from 10 species